AGAGUUUGAUCAUGGCUCAGAGUGAACGCUGGCGGCGUGCCUAACGCAUGCAAGUCGGACGGGUCCCGGGUAGCAAUAUCUGGGAUCAGUGGCGAACGGGUGAGUAACACGUGGGUAACCUGCCCUCGAGUGGGGAAUAAGCUCCCGAAAGGGGGUCUAAUACCGCAUAACGUUUCAUGGCGAUGGUCAUGAAACCAAAGCCCAAAAGGCGCUCGAGGAGGGGCCUGCGUCCUAUCAGCUAGUUGGUAGGGUAAUGGCCUACCAAGGCUACGACGGGUAGCCGGCCUGAGAGGGUGUCCGGCCACACUGGGACUGAGACACGGCCCAGACUCCUACGGGAGGCAGCAGUGGGGAAUUUUGCGCAAUGGGGGAAACCCUGACGCAGCGACGCCGCGUGGAGGAUGACGGCCUUCGGGUUGUAAACUCCUGUCAGAGGGGACGAAAUCCCGCAAGGGACUGACGGUACCCUCAGAGGAAGCCCCGGCUAACUACGUGCCAGCAGCCGCGGUAAUACGUAGGGGGCAAGCGUUACUCGGAAUUACUGGGCGUAAAGGGUGAGUAGGCGGCUGGGCAAGUCAAGGAUGAAAUCCCGAGGCUCAACUUCGGAACUGUCCUUGAAACUGCUCAGCUUGAGGGUAGUUGAGGAGAGCGGAAUUCCCGGUGGAGCGGUGAAAUGCGUAGAUAUCGGGAGGAACACCUGAGGCGAAGGCGGCUCUCUAAGCUACUCCUGACGCUGAAUCACGAAAGCUAGGGGAGCAAACGGGAUUAGAUACCCCGGUAGUCCUAGCCGUAAACGAUGGACACUAGAUAUUCCGGCGUUUUCGCUGGAGUGUCGUAGCUAACGCGUUAAGUGUCCCGCCUGGGGAGUACGGUCGCAAGGCUGAAACUUAAAUGAAUUGACGG
rnacentral:rRNA from 1 species